rnacentral:tRNA from 1 species
UCCCGGGUCGUCUAAGGGCAGGACGGUGUCUUUUGGUGUCACAUAUGGAGGUUCGAAUCCUUCCCCGGGAG